rnacentral:tRNA from 13 species
GACUAAAAUCCGUUGGCUUUAUAGACCAUGAGGGUUCAAGUCCCUCUACCCCCA